AUUGAACGCUGGCGGCAUGCUUUACACAUGCAAGUCGAACGGUAACAGGCCGCAAGGUGCUGACGAGUGGCGAACGGGUGAGUAAUGCAUCGGAACGUGCCCAGUCGUGGGGGAUAACGCAGCGAAAGCUGCGCUAAUACCGCAUACGAUCUAUGGAUGAAAGCGGGGGACCGUAAGGCCUCGCGCGAUUGGAGCGGCCGAUGUCAGAUUAGGUAGUUGGUGGGGUGAAGGCUCACCAAGCCGACGAUCUGUAGCUGGUCUGAGAGGAAGACCGGCAACACUGGGACUGAGACCCGGCCCAGACUCCGACGGGAGGCAUCAGUGGGGAAUUUUGGACAAUGGGGGCAACCCUGAUCCAGCAAUGCCGCGUGCAGGAAGAAGGCCUUCGGGUUGUAAACUGCUUUUGUACGGAACGAAACGGCUCUGGUUAAUACCUGGGGCUAAUGACGGUACCGUAAGAAUAAGCACCGGCUAACUACGUGCCAGCAGCCGCCGCAGUAA
rnacentral:rRNA from 1 species